CUCCAUGGGUUGAGGAAGUCCCCCCAAACAGCAAAGUUUGAAUGCCUGUACAGAGCAGCAUCUCCUGGAGGCUCAGGAGCUCAGCCUACGCUCAGAUCAGUUGACUCAACGUGUAUUUUUAAGUCUACAACCACGGUGCAGUUUGAAAGGCUCAGAUCCCGCAGGGGAGUGACAAGGGAAGGGAGAACAAUUCCACCCAGGAUCCUGCAGAGUGAGGGAUUUCAUCUCACUGCCACAGUCUGGGAACGACACGUGGGUUGAAAGGCUCUGCCUGUUGCAGGAGGG